UUUCAUCUUCUCAGCCACACCAGAGCUGAGGCGUCAUGGAUGCUGGAGAAGGGCUCUGCCACUUCAGUACACCUGAGCCACUGGUUAUCUCCAAGCUGUAAUAAAUAAAUCCAGAGAGAAGUCUAAAUGCAGAACAAAAGCAGGUGCAGCUGGAGAGCUCACAUGGGGGCUCUCUCUCCCUUUCUCAGGAUUCACUGCCACCGUGAGAUGCAAGGACACAGUCACGGAGCCCCACGCCACACUCUCUGCAGGGCCUCUGCUGCAGACAAAGCUGAAGAAAACCGAGGGCGACUGAGCAGCCAGCAAUGGUUCGGUGUGGAGUCAGGGAUCUGACUUGAGCCUGCCUGCCCUGUCUCUGCUGAGUGACCUUGGGUCCCCACGAAGCCUUGCUACUUCUCAGCUUCUGAUGGGUGGAAGUCAAUUGACCUUCCGCUGAACGAUUUCCUUCUCACCAGAAGCCAGAGUAGGCCUUGUCUGGGUUUAGCAAACCCAUAACAAAGUAGCUAAAGUAGCUUCCUAACAAAGGUCAAGGGAUUCCAAGGGAAACAGCCCAGCAUCAGGCCCUGGCAAACUGGUAGAUUCUCCAUUUCUCUCCAGUCAUGGUGACCAAGAUAAAAACGUGUGCACAGAAGGAAGCAACCCCUCCUGCCCAAUGUACUGAGCUACACCCACAGCCCAGUCCUACAGCAGCCUUUUUUUUGAGACUGUCUCAUGUGGCCUUUCAGUAGCUGAGGAUGACCUUGAACUCCUAAUCCUCCUGCCUCCACCUUGCAAGUGCUGGGUACAUUCACCAUGACUAUUACCUAGGUGGCCUUGGAUUCCUGGUCUCAACAAACUUCCUGCCUCUUCCUUCUGGGGAACUGGGAUAUAGACAUGUACUUCCAUGCCUGACCUGACCAUGGCCUCUAAAAAUAUGUAUAUGUAUGUA